rnacentral:rRNA from 1 species
AUACGUAGAGAGCAAGCGUUGUCCGGAAUUACUGGGCGUAAAGGGUACGCAGGCGGAUAGGCAAGUCAACUGUGAAAUAUACCGGCUUAACCGGUAAGGUGCAUUUGAAACUGCCUAUCUUGAGUGCAGAAGAGGAGAGCGGAAUUCCUAGUGUAGCGGUGGAAUGCGUAGAUAUUAGGAAGAACACCAGUGGCGAAGGCGGCUCUCUGGUCUGCAACUGACGCUGAGGUACGAAAGCUGGGGGAGCAAACGGGAUUAGAUACCCCGGUAGUCCCAGCCGUAAACGAUGGACACUAGGUGUUGGUGGUUCGAAUCCAUCAGUGCCGGAGUUAACGCGAUAAGUGUCCCGCCUGGGGAUUACGGUCGCAAGACUGAA